GACGAACGCUGGCGGCGUGCUUAACACAUGCAAGUCGAGCGGUAAGGCCCUUCGGGGUACACGAGCGGCGAACGGGUGAGUAACACGUGGGUGACCUGCCUCUAGCUCUGGGAUAAGCCUGGGAAACUGGGUCUAAUACCGGAUAUGACUCCACGGCGCAUGUUGUGGGGUGGAAAGCCUUGUGUGGCUAGAGAUGGGCCCGCGGCCUAUCAGCUUGUUGGUGGGGUGAUGGCCUACCAAGGCGACGACGGGUAGCCGGCCUGAGAGGCGACCGGCCACACUGGGACUGAGACACGGCCCAGACUCCUACGGGAGGCAGCAGUGGGGAAUCUUGCGCAAUGGGCGAAAGCCUGACGCAGCGACGCCGCGUGAGGGAUGACGGCCUCGG
rnacentral:rRNA from 1 species